rnacentral:ncRNA from 1 species
AACUCAGGAGAGUCCCGGGAGAACCGGGCGCCGAAGGUGUACGCAGCAUUGGGCUGCAAAUCUCUCAGGCAAAAGGAUGGAGGAAGAA